GACGAACGCUGGCGGCGUGCUUAACACAUGCAAGUCGAACGGGAAGGCCCUUCGGGGUACACGAGUGGCGAACGGGUGAGUAACACGUGGGUGAUCUGCCCUGCACUUCGGGAUAAGCCUGGGAAACUGGGUCUAAUACCGGAUAGGACCACUGCCUGCAUGGGUGGUGGUGGAAAGCUUUUGCGGUGUGGGAUGGGCCGGCGGCCUAUCAGCGUGUUGGUGGGGUGGUGGCCUACCAAGGCGACGACGGGUAGCCGGCCUGAGAGGGUGACCGGCCUCGCUGGGACGGAGGUGCGGCCCAGACUCCUACGGGAGGCAGCAGUGGGGAAUAUUGCACAAUGGGCGCAAGCCUGAUGCAGCGACGCCGCGUGAGGGAUGACGGCCUUCGGGUUGUAAACCUCUUUCAGCACCGACGAAGCGCAAGUGACGGUAGGUGCAGAAGAAGGACCGGCCAACUGCGUGCCAGCCGCCGCGGUAA
rnacentral:rRNA from 1 species